UAGGGAAUCUUCCGCAAUGGGCGAAAGCCUGACGGAGCAACGCCGCGUGAGUGAUGAAGGUCUUCGGAUCGUAAAACUCUGUUAUUAGGGAAGAACAAAUGUGUAAGUAACUAUGCACGUCUUGACGGUACCUAAUCAGAAAGCCACGGCUAACUACGUGCCAGCAGCCGCGGUAAUACGUAGGUGGCAAGCGUUAUCCGGAAUGAUUGGGCGUAAAGCGCGCGUAGGCGGUUUUUUAAGUCUGAUGUGAAAGCCCACGGCUCAACCGUGGAGGGUCAUUAGAAACUGGAACACUUGAGUGCAGAAGAGGAAAGUGGAAUUCCAUGUGUAGCGGUGAAAUGCGCAGAGAUAUGGAGGAACACCAGUGGCGAAGGCGACUUUCUGGUCUGUAACUGACGCUGAUGUGCGAAAGCGUGGGGAUCAAACAGG
rnacentral:rRNA from 1 species